CCUACGGGAGGCAGCAGUGGGGAAUAUUGCACAAUGGGGGAAACCCUGAUGCAGCGACGCCGCGUGAAGGAAGACGUAUUUCGGUAUGUAAACUUCUAUUUGCAGGGAAGUAAAUGACGGUACCUGACUAAGAAGCCCCGGCUAACUACGUGCCAGCAGCCGCGGUAAUACGUAGGGGGCAAGCGUUAUCCGGAUUUACUGGGUGUAAAGGGAGCGUAGGCGGCGAUGCAAGUCAGAAGUGAAAGCCCGGGGCUCAACUCCGGGACUGCUUUUGAAACUGUGUUGCUAGAUUGCAGGAGAGGUAAGUGGAAUGCCUAGUGUAGCGGUGAAAUGCGUAGAGAUUAGGAGGAACACCAGUGGCGAAGGCGGCUUACUGAACUGUAACUGACGUUGAGGCUCGAAAGCGUGGGGAGCAAACAGGAUUAGAUACCCUUGUAGUC
rnacentral:rRNA from 1 species